GUGCUAGCCGCCGCGGUAAUACCGGCAGCCCGAGUGAUGGCCGAUCUUAUUGGGCCUAAAGCGUCCGUAGCUGGCUGCGCAAGUCCGUCGGGAAAUCCACUCGCCCAACGAGUGGGCGUCCGACGGAAACUGCACGGCUUGGGACCGGAAGGCUCGAGAGGUACGUCCGGGGUAGGAGUGAAAUCCCGUAAUCCCGAACGGACCACCGAUGGCGAAAGCAUCUCGAGAAAACGGAUCCGACAGUGAGGGACGAAAGCUGGGAUCUCGAACCGGAUUAGAAACCCGAGUAGUCC
rnacentral:rRNA from 1 species